rnacentral:rRNA from 1 species
GACGAACGCUGGCGGCGUGCUUAACACAUGCAAGUCGAACGGAAAGGCCCUGCUUUUGUGGGGUGCUCGAGUGGCGAACGGGUGAGUAACACGUGAGUAACCUGCCCUUGACUUUGGGAUAACUUCAGGAAACUGGGGCUAAUACCGGAUAGGAGCUCCUGCUGCAUGGUGGGGGUUGGAAAGUUUCGGCGGUUGGGGAUGGACUCGCGGCUUAUCAGCUUGUUGGUGGGGUAGUGGCUUACCAAGGCUUUGACGGGUAGCCGGCCUGAGAGGGUGACCGGCCACAUUGGGACUGAGAUACGGCCCAGACUCCUACGGGAGGCAGCAGUGGGGAAUAUUGCACAAUGGGCGGAAGCCUGAUGCAGCAACGCCGCGUGCGGGAUGACGGCCUUCGGGUUGUAAACCGCUUUCGCCUGUGACGAAGCGUGAGUGACGGUAAUGGGUAAAGAAGCACCGGCUAACUACGUGCCAGCAGCCGCGGUAAUACGUAGGGUGCGAGCGUUGUCCGGAUUUAUUGGGCGUAAAGGGCUCGUAGGUGGUUGAUCGCGUCGGAAGUGUAAUCUUGGGGCUUAACCCUGAGCGUGCUUUCGAUACGGGUUGACUUGAGGAAGGUAGGGGAGAAUGGAAUUCCUGGUGGAGCGGUGGAAUGCGCAGAUAUCAGGAGGAACACCAGUGGCGAAGGCGGUUCUCUGGGCCUUUCCUGACGCUGAGGAGCGAAAGCGUGGGGAGCGAACAGGCUUAGAUACCCUGGUAGUCCACGCUGUAAACGGUGGGUACUAGGUGUGGGGUCCACUCCACGGGUUCCGUGCCGUAGCUAACGCUUUAAGUACCCCGCCUGGGGAGUACGGCCGCAAGGCUAAAACUCAAAGGAAUUGACGGGGCCCCGCACAAGCGGCGGAGCAUGCGGAUUAAUUCGAUGCAACGCGUAGAACCUUACCUGGGUUUGACAUGGAUCGGGAGUGCUCAGAGAUGGGUGUGCCUCUUUUGGGGUCGGUUCACAGGUGGUGCAUGCCUGUCGUCAGCUCGUGUCGUGAGAUGUUGGGUUAAGUCCCGCAACGAGCGCAACCCUUGUUCACUGUUGCCAGCACGUUAUGGUGGGGACUCAGUGGAGACCGCCGGGGUCAACUCGGAGGAAGGUGGGGAUGACGUCAAGUCCUCAUGCCCCUUAUGUCCAGGGCUUCACGCAUGCUACAAUGGCUGGUACAGAGAGUGGCGAGCCUGUGAGGGUGAGCGAAUCUCGGAAAGCCGGUCUCAGUUCGGAUUGGGGUCUGCAACUCGACCUCAUGAAGUCGGAGUCGCUAGUAAUCGCAGAUCAGCAACGCUGCGGUGAAUACGUUCCCGGGGCU